rnacentral:lncRNA from 1 species
UUUUUGUGGAAACAAAGUCUUACUAUGUUGCUCAGGCUGGUUUCAAAUUCCUGGCUUCAAGUAGGACCUUCAAGGAGGUCCCACCUCGACCUCCCAAAGUGCUGGGAUUACGGGUGUGAGCCAUCACGCCCAGCCUCCAACCCCUGUUUUGAAGUUACGUCCUUACAUAUUUACAGAAGAAAUGAUGUGAUGUUUGGGAUUGCCUCCAAAAUAAUGCUGGAGGGGGGAAAUGGGUGGGAGGUGGAGGCAAAUAUGAAACAAGGAUGGCUAUGGGUUGGCUAUCAUUGAAGCAGAGUGCCAGGGACAUGGAUGUUCAUUUUAUUUUUACGUCUACUUUCGUAUGUGUUUGAAAUUUUCCACAUAACAGUUUUUAAAAAGGAAAAGGAAAACAAAAGAGAUCGUGCGUUUUAACAAAAGAGGUUAGACAGAGGAGGAGGAACUAAGGCGAGGGCCUGAGAGGAAAGGCCAGAGGCCCAGGAGAGAAACCAGGUGAGUAUGGUGUCCUUGAGGUCAAGUGGAGAAGGAGGAGGGUCACUAAAAGCUGCUAUAGAGGGUCAAGUCCAGUGAAGACUUGGAACUGCAUCACCUGGCUCUCAAGUGGCCCAUACCCCAAUUAUGUGACACCACCCUCUUUCAUUAUUUGUUUUUCAUUUGUUUUUGUUUUUGAAAUGGGGUCUAACUCUUUUGCCCAGCCUGGAGUGCAGUGGUGCGAUCUCAGCUCACUGCACCCUCCACUUCCCAAGCUCAAGCAAUCCUCCCACCGCAACCUCCUGAAUAGCUGGAUCUACAGGCGUGCACCACCACACCUGGCUAAUUUUUGUAUUUUUUGUAGAGAUGGGGUUUUGCCAUUUUGCCUAGGCUAGUCUGGAACUCCUGGGCUCAAGCAAGCCGUCCAACUCACUUUUGUAAAGUGCUGGGACUACAGGCGUGAGCCACCAUGCCCAACUGGUAUUUUUUAAAUGCUUUAAAAAAAGAGAUGGGAUCUGGCUAUGUUGCCCUGGCUGGUCUCAAGCUGCUGGCCUCAAAUGAUCC